rnacentral:misc_RNA from 1 species
GAUGAAGAACGCAGCGAAAUGCGAUAAGUAAUGUGAGUUGCAGAAUUCAGUGAAUCAUCGAAUCUUUGAACGCACAUUGCGCCCCUUGGUAUUCCGAGGGGCAUGCCUGUUCGAGCGUCAUUAUAACCCCUCAAGCUCAGCUUGGUGUUGGGGCCUGCUGCACUGGCAGCCCUUAAAAUCAGUGGCGGCGCCAUCUGGCUCUAAGCGUAGUAAUUCUUCUCGCUAUGGAGUCCUGGUGGAUGCUUGCCAUCAACCCCCAAUUUUUCUAUGGUUGACCUCGGAUCAGGUAGGGAUACCCGCUGAACUUAAGCAUACCAAUAAGCGGAGGA